UACAGAGGUGCCAAGCGUUAGGCGGAAUCACUGGGCUUAAAGCGCGCGUAGGCGGACGUCUAAGUGUCUUGUGAAAUCCCACGGCUCAACCGUGGAACUGCUGGGCAUACUGGACGUCUCGAGGCACUCAGGGGCGAGCGGAACAAGUGGUGGAGCGGUGAAAUGCGUAGAUAUCACUUGGAACGCCAAUGGUGAAGACAGCUCGCUGGGGGUGUCCUGACGCUGAGGCGCGAAAGCCAGGGGAGCGAACGGG
rnacentral:rRNA from 1 species